rnacentral:tRNA from 1 species
GACCGCGUAGCUCAGUUGGCAGAGCAUGGGGCUAGUAUUCCAAAGGUCGUAGGUUCGAGUCCCACCGUGGCCA